GGCGAUGUGGUGAAAUUGGUAGACACGCUACCUUGAGGUGGUAGUGCCGCUUUAGGUAUGGGAGUUCGAAUCUCCCCAUCGUCA
rnacentral:tRNA from 3 species